UCGGGUCGGCAUGGCAUCUCCACCUCCUCGCGGUCCGACCUGGGCAUCCGUAGGAGGACAGACGUCCUACUCGGAUGGCUAAGGGAGAGCCAGU
rnacentral:ribozyme from 1 species